rnacentral:rRNA from 1 species
UACGUAGGGUGCGAGCGUUGUCCGGAAUUAUUGGGCGUAAAGAGCUCGUAGGCGGUUCGGUAAGUCGGGUGUGAAACCUCCAGGCUCAACCUGGAGACGCCACCCGAUACUGCUGUGACUAGAGUCCGGUAGGGGAGCGUGGAAUUCCUGGUGUAGCGGUGAAAUGCGCAGAUAUCAGGAGGAACACCAGCGGCGAAGGCGAGUCCCUGGACAACUCCUGACACUGAGGCACGAAAGCUAGGGGGAGCAAACAGG